GAUGAACGCUGGCGGCGUGCCUAAUACAUGCAAGUCGAGCGAACAGACGAGGAGCUUGCUCCUCUGACGUUAGCGGCGGACGGGUGAGUAACACGUGGAUAACCUACCUAUAAGACUGGGAUAACUUCGGGAAACCGGAUCUAAUACCGGAUAAUAUAUUGAACCGCAUGGUUCAAUAGUGAAAGACGGUUUUGCUGUCACUUAUAGAUAGAUCCGCGCCGCAUUAGCUAGUUGGUAAGGUAACGGCUUACCAAGGCAACGAUGCGUAGCCGACCUGAGAGGGUGAUCGGCCACACUGGAACUGAGACACGGUCCAGACUCCUACGGGAGGCAGCAGUAGGGAAUCUUCCGCAAUGGGCGAAAGCCUGACGGAGCAACGCCGCGUGAGUGAUGAAGGUCUUCGGAUCGUAAAGCUCUGUUAUUAGGGAAGAACAAAUGUGUAAGUAACUAUGCACGUCUUGACGGUACCUAAACAGAAAGCAACGGCUAACUACGUG
rnacentral:rRNA from 1 species